rnacentral:rRNA from 1 species
GUGGGGAAUAUUGGACAAUGGGCGAAAGCCUGAUCCAGCCAUGCCGCGUGUGUGAAGAAGGUCAUCGGAUUGUAAAGCACUUUACGUUGGGAGGAAGGGCAGUAAGUUAAUACCUUGCUGUUUUGACGUUACCGACAGAAUAAGCACCGGCUAACUUCGUGCCAGCAGCCGCGGUAAUACGAAGGGUGCAAGCGUUAAUCGGAAUUACUGGGCGUAAAGCGCGCGUAGGUGGUUUUGUAAGAUGGAGGUGAAAUCCCCGGGCUCAACCUGGGAACUGCCUCCAAAACUGCAUGACUAGAGUACGGUAGAGGGUAGUGGAAUUUCCUGUGUAGCGGUGAAAUGCGUAGAUAUAAGAAGGAACACCAGUGGCGAAGGCGACUACCUGGACUGAUACUGACACUGAGGUGCGAAAGCGUGGGGAGCAAACAGGAUUAGAAACCCUGGUAGUCC